UUUUUUUUUUCUCGGCCACUUUUUCCCUGGUACAUAAAUAAGAGUGAAGAUAACUGGGUGUUCUUUCCUGCCUUCCCUCAAAGUAUUCCCUAGACAGUUCUGUAGCUCGCCUUGCAGUCCUUUCAAUUUCUAGGAGUCUUGAACAGCACACCAGCAAAGAUUUUCAUAUAUUUGUUCUAUUACAUUCAAGUCAGUGGAAUAGUGCAACCUUUUCUGUCCUGAGUGAUGGUGUUGUGACUUUCACUUUCAGCAAGUCUUCUUGUCACAUGCAGGGAAAAUAAAAAGAAUUAGGAUAGAUGGAUAGGUAGGUAGAUAGAUAGAUAGAUUCAUAGAUAGAUCAUAUGACAGAUAGGAAGAUAGAUAUGCAUGAGAAAAUGUUAAUAUUCCUGUACUUAUUAUCAGUUCUCUCUGGUGUAUUGAAAAGAACACAAUCAUGAACAGAGGCGGUAGAAAUAGAGAAGAAAUGAGAUGUAAUAGUCUGCCUCUUAGAUGCUAUCUCGUUUUUAUGUUUAUCCGCGGAAGAUGCAAACACUCGCUGUGAAAACUACCUAACAUUUACUGUUUUGACAAACAACCAUUGCUGGACACGAUAAUGAUAAAAAAAAAAAGAGCUCGCAAUAACCAAUACAUUGAUAUCUGAAUUUUGUAUAAGUAUAGAAUCUCAUUUAUGAUAUAUAGUUAUCAUAGAUAUUUAUGCUUGGGUAGACACGUACUGCCGUCACAGACAGCUGCAGUGGUGGUGGUGGUGGUGUAGCAGGGCAUACGACUUGAGCAGAGGCCCAGAGUGUGUGACAUGAGGCACAGCGGAACUCGCGGCGCUCCGCCUCACAAUUAGCAAGUGUUCUCGUGGGCCCUUCCUUGUGCCGGCCUGCUGAGGGAGGGAGAAGGGAGAGAUGUGACCAGAGGAGGCUUGGGAGGAGAGAGAGCGGCGAGACAAAGGUGUCCAGGCCGGGUGCCCUGCUGGGCUCUGACGUGGCUCCAUCCAGUUGGCUGGGGGUUCCUGCAGUGGAGGGGUGAGUGAGGCCGGGCAGCAGCAUGAGUGAACAACAGCAGCAGCAGCAGCAGUCUGCCUCAGGUGUGGGGAGGUCCAGGCAUGGUGGCAAGAAUGACCUGGAGGCAGGCAGCUCCACCCACAGAGGAGAGAGAAAGUUUGUUUGUCAGCAAUGUGAUAAAACAUUUACAUCCAGACAAGGGCUUAGACAACACACCCUGAGACACACUAGUGUUAGAAAAUAUGAGUGUCUGGAAUGUGGAAAGAAAUUCAUUAGAAAGGGUGAACUCACCACACACACCCUGACACACAGUGGUGUUAGAAAUUAUGAGUGUCUGGAAUGUGGAAAGAAAUUCACCAUAAAGGGUAGCCUCACCAGACACACCCUGACACACAGUGGUGUUAGAAAUUAUGAGUGUCUGGAAUGUGGAAAGAAAUUUACCACAAAGUCUGAGCUCACCACACACAUCCUUAGACAUAGUGGUGUUAGAAAUUAUGAGUGUCUGGAAUGUGGAAAGAAAUUCACCACAAAAUUUGAGCUCACCACACACACCCUGACACACAGUGGUGUUAGAAAUUAUGAGUGUCUGGAAUGUGGCAAGAAAUUCACCACAAAUGGUCACCUCACCAUACACACCCUGACACACAGUUUUCUUAGAAAUUAUGAGUGUCUGGAAUGUGGAAAGAAAUUCACCACAAAGUCUAACCUCACCACACAUACCCUGACACACAGUGGUGUUAGAAAUUAUGAGUGUCUGGAAUGUGGAAAGCAAUUCACCCAAAAGGGUCACCUCACCGCACACACCCUGACACACAGUGGUGUUAAAAAUUAUGAGUGUCUGGAAUGUGGCAAGAAAUUCACCACAAAGUCUAACCUCACCACACACACCCUGACACAUGGCAGCAUCAGGAAUCAUGAGUGUGAGGAGUGUGGCAAGAAAUUCUUCACCAUUUGUGCUCUCAACAGACAUGCCUUCAGACACACUGGCUUGAGGGAGUUCAAGUGUGAUGUUUGUGGCAAAUGUUUCAAGACUAAGUGUGACAUUGCCCAGCAUGUGAAGAUCCACUUUUGAGGUGGUGUGUUGUGUGGAUCGGUGGGGCAACACCCAUGCCUGUGGGAGUGUGUGGUGGUGGUGGUGGUGGUGGGCGGUGUGUUUCUUUCUUCUUUUUUCUCGAGUUGCUUCCUCCCGACCUUGGCCUGACCUUCCAGCCUUUGCUCCUUGGCACAGCCAGGUGAAGCACGCCUUCAGUGGGAACUGGUCUCCCGAGGGUGUCACCAAGGCUCUCCAUCUCCAGCAGGAAGUGGGAGGGUCAAGAUGGCAGGCAAGCAAGCAAGCAAGAUGUUGGUGUGUGUUGGAUGCCUGUGUGACUCCAUGCUACGCUGGCCUACCACACUACAGGAUACAUUGAUGAUAGUGUCACCUCAGCAGACACUACACUGUAGUCAUGUGUGGCAGUGCCUGUAAGGACAGCACACCCCUCCACCAAGGUAGAACGAAGCAGUGCACACCUAGUUUUGUACUUGUUGUAUUGUGAGGGGUGUGUUCUUUGUGUAUUGUGGGUUAUAAGACAGAAAGUAGUAGUAGUUUACACCUAACCUUGUGUGUCUUGUGAGGGGUGUGUACUUUGUGGUAUUGUAGUUUCCAGGCAGUGUUGUAUGUACUGUGUUUGUGUUGUGAGGUGCAAGGAGAGGCAGAGACUUGUAAUGUGUGUGUGUGUGUGUGUGUGUGUGUGUGUGUGUGUGUGUGUGUGUGUGUGUGUG